GAUGAACGCUGGCGGCGUGCCUAAUACAUGCAAGUCGAGCGAACAGACGAGGAGCUUGCUCCUCUGACGUUAGCGGCGGACGGGUGAGUAACACGUGGAUAACCUACCUAUAAGACUGGGAUAACUUCGGGAAACCGGAGCUAAUACCGGAUAAUAUAUUGAACCGCAUGGUUCAAUAGUGAAAGACGGUUUUGCUGUCACUUAUAGAUGGAUCCGCGCCGCAUUAGCUAGUUGGUAAGGUAACGGCUUACCAAGGCAACGAUGCGUAGCCGACCUGAGAGGGGGGUCGGCCACAUGGGAACUUGGACACCGUCCAGGCUCCUAAGGGAGGCAGCAGUAGGGAAUCGUCCGCAAUGGGCGGAAGCCUUACGGAGCAACCGCGCGUGAGUUGUGAAAGUCCUCCGAUCGUAAAACUCUGUUAUUAGGGAAGAACAAAUGUGUAAGUAACUAUGCACGUCUUGACGGUACCUAAUCAGAAAGCCACGGCUAACUACGUG
rnacentral:rRNA from 1 species